rnacentral:lncRNA from 1 species
CCAUCAACUUCAUCAAAUCAAUCAAAGCUGGUCAUGUCAAGCUCUACGACGCGGAUCCAGAGAGUCUAACACUCCUCUCUCAGACCAAUCUUUACGUCACCAUAACCGUCCCAAACCAUCUAAUCACUUCUCUCAGCACCAACCAAACCACAGCUGAAGAUUGGGUCCAAACCAACAUCAUCCCUUACUACCCGCAAACCCACAUCCGGUUUGUCCUUGUCGGAAACGAAAUCCUCUCCGUCGAAGAGAGGA